GACGUGAGUCAACCAAGCGAGAAGUUCCAUCUGGAAACUCGGGCAUGAGGUUUAAAUGUGGUCUGCUCUGCCUCAGGCUGGCUGUGACCUUGAGCUGGUGAUGUCCCUGCCUCAGUUUCCUCACCUUCUGAUGGAGAUGGGAGGGGAAGAAAGCAGCUGCUUCUGGGUGGUGGCAGAGAUGCCCAUGUCUAGGACCUCCAGGCCUUAACUAAUCAGGGGCACUGAUGAAGCCAGCGGGGCUCCACUGGGGACCACAGGCAAGACUGGGCCAGGACGAGGCGGUCACGCAGAGUCCCUAGAGCGUCCAAGAUUUUUGGUUUCAAACCAAUUUCCUGCUGACCAGAAUGAAAUGGAGCCACAUUCCAGCACGAUGCACCUGCUGACCUCCUGCAAGUCAGGGACCUUCUCUGCCCCUCUUUUGCUCCGCUGCAGGAGGGAGAAGCUGGGAAUGUGUUCCUCUGGGGUCCCAUCACCUCCAGCCAGCCACUGUCCCUGUCUCCCCAAAAACCUCCUCGUUGUCCCUCCUCUGUCCUCCUCCUCCUCCAUCUGCCUUCGCCCUGCUCUCCUCUUUUUCGCCUGAGGUUCGUGCUGCCUCCUCACCUCUUGUCCUGUUUCUCCCUUCUCUCUGCUCCCUCCUUUGAUCUUGCUAUUUUGCUUCUCUUUCCCUUCCUCUCUUCUCCUCCCUCCCCUUCCUCCCUGCUCCCUGCCUCAGCUUCUCAGUCUCUCUCCGUUCUUCCUCUAGCUUCCUUCCCUCCCCAGAAGACCCAGCCCUUCCUAGAGCCCCAGAAGCCAGGGUUCAUGCCCCAGCUCUCUACCCGCACAUGCUGUGCAACCCUGGGCCAGUCACUGGUCUCUUGGGCCUCAGUUCAACAGAUGGCUGUCUUGGUGAUGUGAGAUCAUAGGGUGGAAGCACCCAGAAUGGUGCCAGGCACUCAAAAAUUUUUUUCUUUUCCUUUUUAAGGAACUACUAACCGUGAGGUUAUGGAUUACCAAACCGUUCCUGUUCUUGGAAUCUGGGUCCUACUAUUCCCAAGAAUUUGAAUUACCACGGGUCCCUGGGGAUGUAAGGGGAUGAGGCUUCUGAUGUACUUUGGGAGGGGGAGGAGUGGAAAGAGGAGUUGGGAGGACACUCUAGCAUUGCCCAGAGGGCAGAGGACAUUCUGCCUAUUUCCAGAGGUUAUUGACCCUGGAUCUCUUUUAUGGAGUUCCUCACCCAGGCCCCUUGAGCUUGGCCAUACUUGAGGCAAUGGGAUAUCUUCCUUCUCCUGGAGCCCCUUGAAUCUUAGGCCUCAGGAACACACAGUCUACCUGGUUUCUUCGCUGCACCCACGGAGGACAGCCCCCAUACUCCUUGCUUACAACCAGCAAAGACUCCACAGCCAUCCCUGCACACGACUCAGGCUCCUUGGCUUGGCACUCAAGGCUCUUUGCCUUCCUGUCCUGCUUUGCUUCCAGCUGCAAAGAUGGUGGCUUCCUGUUUUCCUCUUCGUUUCCUUUGCUUAAGUUGAUUCUCAGCCAGACAUGCUUUCCCCCUGCACGCUUCCCUAAGCCAUCCUAUCUGGGACCCUGACCCAAUCAAUGGUUCCCUAAUGCACCUUUGAGACCAAGUGUACCUGGCACCUCCUCUCUUGCCCCACUAUCUGCUCACAUGACCCUCUGCAGGCCUGUAAGCUGCUGGAGGCUCCAAGUAUGCCUCAUUCAUGUCUAUCCCCCUUACUAGGCCCAGACCAUGGAAGACACUCAAUAAAAAGUAAGUGAUUAAAUGACAACCUCUACGGAAAAGAGUAUGGAGAUUUCUCAAAGAACUAAAAACAGAACUACCUUUUGGCCAGAUGCAGUGGCUCACACCUAUAAUCCCAACAUUUGGGAAGGCUGAGGCAGGUGGAUUGCUUGAGCCCAGGAGUUCAAGAUCAGCCUGGGCAACAUGGUGAAACCCUAUCUCUACAAAAAAUACAGAAAAUUAGAUGAGACUACAGAUGGCACACAUCCAUAGUACCAGCUACUCCAGAGGCUGAGGCGGGAGGAUCGCUUGAGCCCAGGAGGUCCAGGCUACAGUGGGCCAAGAUCACGCCAUUGCACUCCAGCCUCAGUGAUAAAGUGACAUUCUGUCUCAAAAGAAAAAGAACUGGCCAAGCGUGGUGGCUCACGUCUGUAAUCCCAGCACUUUGGGAGGCCGAGGCAGGUGGAUCACAUGAGAUCAGGAGUUCGAGACUAGCCUGGCCAACAAUGAUGAAACCCCAUCUCUACUAAAAAUACAAUAAUUAGCUGGGUGUGGUGGCGGGUGCCUGUAAUCCCAGCUACUCAGGAGGCUGAGGCAGGAGAAUCAUUUGAACCCGGGAGUCAAAGUGAG
rnacentral:lncRNA from 1 species